UCGCAAGGCUAAAACUCAAAGGAAUUGACGGGGACCCGCACAAGCGGUGGAGCAUGUAGUUUAAUACGACGCAACGCGUAGAACCGUACCAGGGCUUGACAUGUAUGUGAAAGUCCUAUGAAAGUAGGAGCCCUCUUCGGAGCACAUAUGCAGGUGUUGCACGGCUGUCGUCAGCUCGUGUCGUGAGAUGUUGGUUUAAGUCCCGCAACGAGCGCAACCCUUAUUCCUAGUUGCCAGCGUGUCAUGGCGGGGACUCUAGGAAGACUGCCUCGGUUAACGAGGAGGAAGCUGGGGAUGACGUCAAGUCAUUGUGGCCCUUACGCCCUGGGCUACACACGUGCUACAAUGGUCGGUACAAAGGUUUGCCAAGCCGCGAGGUGGAGCCAAUCCCAAAAAGCCGGCCUCAGUUCGGAUUGAAGUCUGCAACUCGACUUCAUGAAGCUGGAAUCGCUAGUAAUGGCGCAUCAGCUACGGCGCCGCGCAUACGUUCCCGGGUCGUUGUACACACCGCCCGGCACAUCAUGAAAGCCGAGUUGUACCCGAAGUC
rnacentral:rRNA from 1 species